CACAUUAUUUUCUAACAGUUCCACAUGAUGCUGUUGCUCUCUUAAAUUAACGUUAAUAUUUGGAGUGAAGUCAAGGGUGUAACCAUGGAUAUGCAAGUGAAUGUAACGUUAAUGGUCUUCGUGGGUGUGCAAAUAUCAAAAGUUAAUUGACGUUCUUAAGAACAAACCAAGCCAUGGUAUGAUGCCUUCUAUACUAAGCUAAGGUUACCUACUAUUUAGGUAUCUAGUUACUUACUGUCUGAAACCCAACCCCCCCCC